UACGUAGGGGGCAAGCGUUGUCCGGAUUUAUUGGGCGUAAAGAGCGUGUAGGCGGCCAGGUAGGUCAGCUGUGAAAACUCGAGGCUCAACCUCGAGACGCCGGUUGAAACCAUCUGGCUAGAGUCCGGAAAAGGAGAGUGGAAUUCCUGGUGUAGCGGUGAAAUGCGCAGAUAUCAGGAAGAACACCCGUGGCUAAGGCGGCUCUCUAGUACGGUACUGACGCUGAGACGCGAAAGCGUGGGGAGCGAACAGG
rnacentral:rRNA from 1 species